AUGGAUGCAGUGACUUAUGAUGAUGUGCGUGUGAACUUCACUGAGGAAGAUUGGGAUUUGCUGGAUCCUUCCCAGAAAAGUCUCUAUGAAGAGGUGAUGCAGGAGACCUACCAGAACAUCACUGCUAUAGGCUACAAGUGGGAAGACCAUCAUAUUGAAGAAUAUUGUCAAAGUUCUAGAAGACAUGAAAGGCAUGAAAGAAUUCAUAUUGGAGAGAAACCGUAUGAACGUAACCAAUGUGGUAAAGCCUUUGCAAGUGACAAUCAUCUCCAAAUACAUAAAAGAACAAAUACUGGAGAGAAACCUUAUGAAUGUAAUCAAUGUGGUAAAGCCUUUUCACAAUGGAGUACUCUCCAAUAUCAUAUUAGAAGACAUAAUGGAGAGAAACCCUAUAAAUGUAAUCAGUGUGGUAAAGCCUAUGGACAUCACAGUAGUCUGCAAUAUCAUAAAAGAACACAUACUGGAGAGAAACCUUAUCAAUGUAAUCAAUGUGAUAAAGCAUUUUCACAACACAGUAGUCUUGAAUAUCAUAAAAUAACACAUACUGGAGAGAAACCUUAUGAGUGUGAUCAAUGUGGUAAAGCCUUUGCAUGGCAGUCUAGUCUCAAUAUACAUAAAAGAACACAUUCUGGAGAGAAACCUCAUGAGUGUAAUCAAUGUGGUAAAGCCUUUGUACAUCACAAUAGUCUCCAAUGUCAUAAAAGAACGCAUACUGGAGAGAAACCUUAUCAGUGUGAUCAGUGUGGUAAAGCAUUUACACAUCAAAAUAAUCUACAGUGUCAUAAAAGAACACAUACUGGAGAGAAACCUUAUGAAUGCA
rnacentral:lncRNA from 1 species